CCCGAUUCCCCCCCUCCUCAUGCUGUGCAACAGGUCCAGUACCUUGCGUGUGUUGUCUGACCCCUGCCUUCCAGCUACGAAGCCCACCUGGUCCGUAUGGAUCAGGUGGGGUAGUAUGCGGCUCAGUCGUUGUGCAUGGACCUUGGCAUAUAUCUUGGCGUCGGUGUUGAGGAGCGAUAUCGGACGGAAGUUGGGGCAGUGAGUUGGUGGUUUGCCUGGCUUGGGGAGGGUAAUAACAUGUGCCGUGAGUAAUUCCUUGGGGAGUGUGCUAGUUUGGGUGGCAUAGUUGAAUAGUUGCGCAAGGUAAGGUGAUAGAAUGUGUUGGAAUUUCUGGUAGUAAAGGU